rnacentral:rRNA from 1 species
UGGGGAAUAUUGGGCAAUGGGCGCAAGCCUGACCCAGCAACGCCGCGUGAGGGAAGAAGGUUUUCGGAUUGUAAACCUCUGUCGCAGAAGACGAAGGAAGUGACGGUAAUCUGUGAGGAAGCCCCGGCUAACUACGUGCCAGCAGCCGCGGUAAUACGUAGGGGGCGAGCGUUGUCCGGAAUUACUGGGCGUAAAGGGAGCGUAGGCGGUUAAUUAAGUUAGAUGUGAAAUCCCCAGGCUCAACCUGGGAACUGCAUUUGAAACUGUUGGUCUUGAGUAUC